rnacentral:rRNA from 1 species
UACGAAGGGGGCUAGCGUUGCUCGGAAUCACUGGGCGUAAAGCGCACGUAGGCGGAUUGCUAAGUCAGGGGUGAAAUCCUGGAGCUCAACUCCAGAACUGCCUUUGAUACUGGCAACCUUGAGUCCGGGAGAGGUGAGUGGAACUGCGAGUGUAGAGGUGAAAUUCGUAGAUAUUGGAAAGAACACCGGUGGCGAAGGCGGCGACCUGGUCCGACACUGACGCUGAGGCGCGAAAGCGUGGGGAGCAAACAGG